ensembl:lncRNA
AUGGAAACGCUGAAACCGCUGAACUAUAUCUGCCAGACCUGUUGGUGGCGCUGUAAGGAGCAUGCGCAUAAAGCAUGCGCGCCGAAUACAAACUCCGCAGAAGUAGAACAAGAAGAAGACGACAAGAAGAAGGAGAAGAAGAAGACAAAAACAAAAAUAAUAAUAAUAAUAAUGAAGAUGGCGAACGGAAAGGAAAGCUCCAAGAUGUUGGUGUGGACAGACGAGGAGGUGGCACUGCUGUUGCGGCUCACCCUGGAAUACAAAUCGAGUAAGCUAAAGGUGGAUGUCGACUGGGAGUCCUGCAAGUCGAAGUACGAAGACAUAACGGACCUGUUUGAGGCGCAAUACCCGAAGGACUUGACGGAGAAGGAUUUCCCUCACGAUGUGAAAACUAUAUCAAAAGGACAGGUCACUUCCAAGAUAAAAAACAUACGUAAAAGCUAUAGGAAUGCGGUGGACGAUGGCCGUCGAAGUGGCCAUGGGCGGGUGGUGCUGAUAUAUUUUGAGCUAUGUGAGCAGAUUUGGGGUGGCUCGCCUGCUACGCACUCUAUCGACGUCUUCCUCGAAGCGGGUGGCCUGGAGGACCUCGAAGACUACUCGCCGCAGUCCUCUCCAGAGUCAGAAGAUAAUCUUCCUCCUGUGGUUGUAAAGCAGCGCACAGAUUUGCUCCAUGCAAAGCUGAACAACCACAGAGGGGACCACAAGAGGAAGGUGCUGGCUACCCCCCUAGAGGAAGAGGAUCUACAAAUAAAGAGGCGGAUGUUGGCGUUAAUGGAGGAGAAUUCCAGACGCAACUCUGACAUCAUGACUCAGAUCAACACAAACAUUGCGAACAUUACCAGUACUGUACAGGACGGCUUCUCCCUGAUGAGAGAGAUAUUACUCCAGCCCAACUCAAGUAGCUUACAGGGACGGUAUGCAAACACACCUGUGAACAAAGAUGACAUGUAUUAAAUGUCAUAUUAAAGGUUUUCAUUUAAUAUCUGCUGGUAUUUGAUGGAGUCCAUGAUACCAUGUAUCCUAACAAGAUGUCCAGGGGCUUUGAAAGAAAAACAGGCCCACAACAUCAAAGAUCUGCCACCAAACUUCACAGUGGGUAUGAGGUGCUUUUUUGUAUGACUAUCCUUCUGUCUACUUCAAACCCACCUUUGAUGUUUUUUUGCCAGAAAGCUCUAUUUUGGUCUCAUUUAACCAUAUAACCCGGUCCCAUUGAAAGUCCCAGUAACAUUUGGCAAACUGUAGGCACUUCAGUUUGUUGUUGAUUGACAGCAGAGGCUUUUUUCUGGCAACCCUCCAAAACAACUUGAUGAUGUAGGUGGCGUCUGAGGGUAGUUUUGGAGACUUUCUGACCCCAAGACUCAACUAACCUCUGCAAUUCUCUAGCUUGAUCCUUGGAGAUUCUUUUUUGCCAGUCGAACCAUCCUUUUCACAGUGCGUGUGGUCAAUGUAUACACACGUUCUCAUCCAGGCUGAUUCUUAACAUCUCCUGUUGCUUUAAACUUUUUGCCAUGAUAGUGGAAAUGGGUAUUUAGAGAUUUUUUUUUAUAUAUAUAUAUACAUUUCCUGAUUUGUGCAGCUCAACAACUUUUCAUCGCACAUCGUCACUGUGUUCUUGGGUCUUUUCCCAUAGUGAUGAAUGACUAAGGGAAUUUGGCCUGUCACCUCAUAUUUAUACGCCAGUGAAACAGGAAGACAUGGUUGACCACUGAGGAGUUCCUAUUCAAACAGGUGAACUUAAAAACGUAUAACAUGACUGGAAAUAUACUCCAGUUAGAUUUUAAUUAUAAGAUUUUCUAGGGGUGCCAAUAAUUGUGGCACUCAUGUUUUGGAGAAAAAUAUUUCUUAUAAAAAAAAAUUCUGUCAACAAUUUUACUUUUUGUGAAUACUUUGAGUGGAAGACCAGGAGGAUAAACAGUAAAGACAUUUGGAAGGCACUGUAUAUGCCCUGGAAAUGGUUCUGUCUGUCGGGGGGGUAUAGGGUAUAGUCAGUAGCAGUCUAUAACACAAUUUUAUACAUAUAGAAACUAUUUAAAAAAAACUUCAAUUUAAUAAAUAAUUUCUCAUUUUCUUUGGUAUUUUUGUC